GCACCAGUAACUCAGUUGGAAAGAGUAACGGUUUUCUAAACCGUAGGUCAAUGGUUCGAGUCCAUUCUGGUGCA
rnacentral:tRNA from 1 species